UACGUAGGGUGCGAGCGUUGUCCGGAAUUAUUGGGCGUAAAGCGCGCGUAGGCGGCUACUUAAGUCGGAUGUGAAAGCCCCUGGCUUAACUGGGGAAGUGCACCCGAAACUGAGUAGCUAGAGUACGAAAGAGGGUCGCGGAAUUCCCGGUGUAGAGGUGAAAUUCGUAGAUAUCGGGAGGAACACCGGCGGCGAAGGCGGCGACCUGGGUCGAUACUGACGCUGAGGCGCGAAAGCGUGGGGAGCAAACAGG
rnacentral:rRNA from 1 species